rnacentral:rRNA from 1 species
CCUACGGGAGGCAGCAGUGGGGAAUAUUGGACAAUGGGGGCAACCCUGAUCCAGCCAUGCCGCGUGUGUGAAGAAGGCCCUCGGGUUGUAAAGCACUUUCAGUGAGGAAGAACGCCUGGUGGUUAAUACCCAUCAGGAAAGACAUCACUCACAGAAGAAGCACCGGCUAACUCCGUGCCAGCAGCCGCGGUAAUACGGAGGGUGCGAGCGUUAAUCGGAAUUACUGGGCGUAAAGCGCGCGUAGGUGGCUUGAUAAGCCGGUUGUGAAAGCCCCGGGCUCAACCUGGGAACGGCAUCCGGAACUGUCAAGCUAGAGUGCAGGAGAGGAAGGUAGAAUUCCCGGUGUAGCGGUGAAAUGCGUAGAGCUCGGGAGGAAUACCAGUGGCGAAGGCGGCCUUCUGGACUGACACUGCCACUGAGGUGCGAAAGCGUGGGUAGCAAACAGGAUUAGCUACCCCUGUAGUC